GCCAGGCGCGGGGGCGCAUGCCUAUAGUCCUAGCUACUAGGGAGGCUGAGGCUGCAGGAUCUCUUGAGUCCAGGGGUUCUGGGCUGUAGUGCGCUAUGCCAAUCGGGUGUCCGCACUAAGUUCCGCAUCAGCAUGGUGACCUCCCGGAAGCGGGGAGCCACCAGGUUGCCUAAGGAGGGGUGAACCGGCCCAGGUUGGAAAUGGAGCAGGUCAAAACUCCCAUGCUGAUCAGUAGUGGGAUUCCGCCUGUGAAUAGCCACUGCACUCCAGCCUGGGCAACAUAGUAAGACCCUGUCUCU
rnacentral:SRP_RNA from 1 species